rnacentral:rRNA from 1 species
UACGGGGGGGGCAAGCGUUGUUCGGAAUUACUGGGCGUAAAGGGCGCGUAGGCGGUUCGCUAAGUUGGAUGUGAAAACUCUGGGCUCAACCCAGAGCCUGCAUCCAAAACUGGCGGGCUAGAGUUCUGGAGGGGGUAGCGGAAUUCCUGGUGUAGCGGUGAAAUGCGUAGAUAUCAGGAAGAACGCCCGUGGCUAAGGCGGCUCUCUAGUACGGUACUGACGCUGAGACGCGAAAGCGUGGGGAGCGAACAGG